GGUGGAACGCAGCGAAAUGCGAUAAGUAGUGUGAAUUGCAGAAUUCAGUGAAUCAUCGAAUCUUUGAACGCACAUUGCGCCCCUUGGUAUUCCAUGGGGCAUGCCUGUUCGAGCGUCAUUUGUACCUUCAAGCUUUGCUUGGUGUUGGGUGUUUGUCUCGCCUUUGCGUGUAGACUCGCCUUAAAAUAAUUGGCAGCCGGCGUAUUGAUUUCGGAGCGCAGUACAUCUCGCGCUUUGCACUCAUAACGACAGCGUCCAAAAGUACAUUUUACACUCUUGACCUCGGAUCAGGUAGGGAUACCCGCUGAACUUAAGCAUAUCAAUAAGCGGAGGA
rnacentral:misc_RNA from 1 species